AUCAACGCUGGCGGCGUGCCUAACACAUGCAAGUCGAACGCGAAAGUGGAGCAAUCCAUGAGUAGAGUGGCGAACGGGUGAGUAACACGUGGGUGACCUACCCUCGAGUGGGGGAUAACAUCCCGAAAGGGGUGCUAAUACCGCAUGACAUCCUGUCUCUGAACAGAUGGACAUUAAAGCCGGGGAUCGCAAGACCUGGCGCUCGAGGAGGGGCUCGCGCCCGAUUAGCUAGUUGGUGAGGGUAACGGCCUCACCAAGGCGACGAUCGGUAUCUGGUCCUGAGAGGAGGAUCAGGCCACACUGGGACUGAGACACGGUCCAGACUCCUACGGGAGGCAGCAGUGGGGAAUAGUUCGCAAUGGGCGCAAGCCUGAUCGACGCAACGCCGCGUGGAGUGAUGAAGGCUCUUCGGGUUGUAAAUCACUUUCGAUCCGGAAGAAAUGCAUUCGGUGAAUACCCGGUCAUUCGAAUGACGGUACCGGAGAGAAGAAGCACCGGCUAACUCCGUGCCAGCAGCCGCGGUAAUACGAGGGGGGCAAGCGUUGCUCGGAAUUACUGGGCGUAAAGGCGUGCGUAGGUGGUUCUGUUAUGUCUGUACUGUGUAAGCCGUACAGCUCAACCUGUAUUGGUCGGUAUGAAUACUGGCAGGACUAGAGUGCUGGUAGAGGAGAGUGGAAUUCCCUGUGUAGCAGGUGAAAUGCGUAGAGAUCGGGGAGGAACAUCAGUGGCGAAGGCGGCUCAGCUAGGACCAGUCACUGACACUGAGGCAGCGAAAGCGUGGGGAGCAAACAGGAUUAGAUACCCUGGUAGUCCACGCCCUAAACGAUGGCGAACUAGGACGUUGGGAGCACUAUGCUCUCAGUGGUGCGGAGCUAACGCAGUUAAGUGCCCGCCUGGGGAGUACGGUCGCAAGGACUGAAACUCAAAGGAAUUGACGGGGGCCCGCACAAGCGGUGGAGUAUGUGGUUUAAUUCGAUGCAACGCGAAGAACCUUACCUGGGUCUUGACAUGCCACGGAUCUUGCAGAGAUGCGAAGAGUGCCUCCUUCGGGAUCGGUGAGACAGGUGCUGCAUGGCUGUCCGUCAGCUCGUGUCGUGAGAUGUUGGGUUAAGUCCCGCAACGAGCGCAACCCUUGUCCCGUAGUUGCCAGCGAGUAUGCCGGGAACUCUGAGGAGACUGCCCGGUGACAACCGGGAGGAAGGUGGGGAUGACGUCAAGUCAUCAUGGCCUUACUGACCAGGGCUACACACGUGACUACAAUGGUCAGGGACAGAGGGUCGCGAGCCGCGUAAGCGGGAGCCAAUCUCCAGAAACCCAUGGCCCUAGUCCGGAUUGGUAGUCUGCAACUCGACGGCCAUGAAGUCGGAAUCGCUAGUAAUCGCGAGAUCAGCAUUGCUCCGGUGAAUACGUUCCCGGGCCUUGUACACACCGCCCGUCACACCAUGGAAGGUUUGUUGCACCAGAAGUCAGGUAGGCCUAACCCAUGGGGGGCGGCUUGCCUACGGUAUGCCGAGGUACUGGGGUG
rnacentral:rRNA from 1 species